GGGCGUUUGGGCCUCGCUGACCGGCGGCUGCUUCCUGGACCCGCAGCUCGGCGCCUUCGCCAACUGCGUCCGGCUCUACGUGUGGCUGUUCCUGCUCGGGCUGCCCCUUGGGCUCUAUUCGGCGCUGCCGCCCACCCCCGCCGUGGCCGCUCUGUACUGCGGGGUCGUGGCCGCGUUUUUCGGGGCCGUCAAGGCCGUGACGUUCCGGCUCCACGCGCAGCUCGACCGGGGGGGCUUCCAGGGGGACCCUGAGGGGGGGGCGGCCGCUCUGCUGCCCCCCCGUAGCCCUGAGGAGGGCGACGGGCCCCCCGGGUGAGUUUGGGGGAUCUCAAGGGGAUCGGGGGGGCAGGGGAGCUGUGUGGCCCCUCUUGGAGGGCAGUGACAGGUCCUGGGGGGGGCCGGGAAGGGGAAACCCCCCCCCCGAGGUGGAUUCGGGGUGUGACAGAAGCAUGUGAGGGUGGGAGACAGCUCCGGGGGGGCUGUAAGAGCUGGGGGGGCAGUGAUGGAUCUGGGGAAGGCUGGGGGGGGGACGUGGAGGGUCCCCAAGGGCUGGGGGUGGAGCUCCUGAGGGCCAUGGGAGGGGUCUCAGGGUCACCUGCAGCAUAUUUUGGGGUCGGGGGGGCACCCUGUAUGUCUGUGGUACCCUGGGAGGGCUGGGCGGGAUGGGGAGUUGGGGUCCUCUCGUACCCCCCUUCACUUCUACCCCCAGGCUCCCUGGGGGGGGUCUGGAGCUCUCGGUGCUCCGGUGGCCGCGUGCGACCCCCCCUGAACUCUGUGGCUUCAACCAGCUCUCGGAGCUGCUGCCGCACCUGGACACGGACAGGAUGGGUGAGCUCUGGAGCGGCACCAGUGGCAUCAUCACCGCCGCCGACCGGGAGCAUCUGUGCCGCGGCCCCCCCACGGGGGGGGGGCACCCCGAUGCGGGGGGGGGACUGGGGGAGGCACAGGGGCUGAGAGAGGGGAGCUGCGGGGGGGCUGGGGGUGCUGCCGGGGUCCCGCUGACCCUCGGACUCCCCCCAGCCCCAGAGAGCCCUCUGGCAGUCGGUGUAGAGGGGGAGGUCCCGCCUGGCAGCCCCCCACCAACACCCCCCCAGGGUAGGGGUCCCAGCAGCCUGUGCAUGGCCCUGAGCCCCCCCCAGCCCCCUGAGGCCCCCUGAGACCCCCUCAGCCACCAGUGACUCCCCUCGGGGGGUGAGAGGGGGCCCUGAGGGCGAUGGGCCAGGGGAGACCCCCUUGGGAGGAGAGUGGAGGUUGGGCCGACCCCAGAGCAGGGGGGUCUGGGGGGGGGCAGUGCUAUAACUGGGAUGUUUGGGGGGGCACUGGGGGGUGCUGCCCUAUAGUGGGAAACUUGGGGGUCCUGCCCCAUAACUAAGGGGCUCCAGAGGGCUGGGGGGGGCUUGUCCUGGCCAUAACCGGGGGGGCUAGGGGGGCUAAACAGCCUCAUGGUGAGAUUUGGGGGCACCUGAUCUCUGACAGGGGCUCUGGGACCUUUCACGGGGGGAUCCUGGGGAAGGCUGGGCUCUUUCUCUCGUUUUUGCUGGUUCUCAGUAGGGUUUUGUUGGUUUAGCGGGGUUUGGGGUUGGUACAAAUAAAUUAAUAAAUAAAACCUGAUAACA
rnacentral:lncRNA from 1 species